GUUGGGUAGGGGAGCGUUCUGUAAGCCUGUGAAGGUGUGUCGUGAGGCAUGCUGGAGGUAUCAGAAGUGCGAAUGCUGACAUAAGUAACGAUAAAGCGGGUGAAAAGCCCGCUCGCCGGAAGACCAAGGGUUCCUGUCCAACGUUAAUCGGGGCAGGGUGAGUCGACCCCUAAGGCGAGGCCGAAAGGCGUAGUCGAUGGGAAACGGGUUAAUAUUCCCGUACUUGGUGUUACUGCGAAGGGGGGACGGAGAAGGCUAUGUUGGCCGGGCGACGGUUGUCCCGGUUUAAGCGUGUAGGUGUGUGUUCCAGGUAAAUCCGGUUCACUUUAACACUGAGGCGUGACGACGAGGCACUACGGUGCUGAAGCAACAAAUGCCCUGCUUCCAGGAAAAGCCUCUAAGCAUCAGGUAACACGAAAUCGUACCCCAAACCGACACAGGUGGUCAGGUAGAGAAUACCAAGGCGCUUGAGAGAACUCGGGUGAAGGAACUAGGCAAAAUGGUGCCGUAACUUCGGGAGAAGGCACGCUGACACGUAGGUGAAGUGAUUUACUCACGGAGCUGAAGUCAGUCGAAGAUACCAGCUGGCUGCAACUGUUUAUUAAAAACACAGCACUGUGCAAACACGAAAGUGGACGUAUACGGUGUGACGCCUGCCCGGUGCCGGAAGGUUAAUUGAUGGGGUCAGCGCAAGCGAAGCUCCUGAUCGAAGCCCCGGUAAACGGCGGCCGUAACUAUAACGGUCCUAAGGUAGCGAAAUUCCUUGUCGGGUAAGUUCCGACCUGCACGAAUGGCGUAAUGAUGGCCAGGCUGUCUCCACCCGAGACUCAGUGAAAUUGAACUCGCUGUGAAGAUGCAGUGUACCCGCGGCAAGACGGAAAGACCCCGUGAACCUUUACUAUAGCUUGACACUGAACAUUGAGCCUUGAUGUGUAGGAUAGGUGGGAGGCUUUGAAGUGUGGACGCCAGUCUGCAUGGAGCCGACCUUGAAAUACCACCCUUUAAUGUUUGAUGUUCUAACGUGGACCCGUAAUCCGGGUUGCGGACAGUGUCUGGUGGGUAGUUUGACUGGGGCGGUCUCCUCCUAAAGAGUAACGGAGGAGCACGAAGGUUGGCUAAUCCUGGUCGGACAUCAGGAGGUUAGUGCAAUGGCAUAAGCCAGCUUGACUGCGAGCGUGACGGCGCGAGCAGGUGCGAAAGCAGGUCAUAGUGAUCCGGUGGUUCUGAAUGGAAGGGCCAUCGCUCAACGGAUAAAAGGUACUCCGGGGAUAACAGGCUGAUACCGCCCAAGAGUUCAUAUCGACGGCGGUGUUUGGCACCUCGAUGUCGGCUCAUCACAUCCUGGGGCUGAAGUAGGUCCCAAGGGUAUGGCUGUUCGCCAUUUAAAGUGGUACGCGAGCUGGGUUUAGAACGUCGUGAGACAGUUCGGUCCCUAUCUGCCGUGGGCGCUGGAGAACUGAGGGGGGCUGCUCCUAGUACGAGAGGACCGGAGUGGACGCAUCACUGGUGUUCGGGUUGUCAUGCCAAUGGCACUGCCCGGUAGCUAAAUGCGGAAGAGAUAAGUGCUGAAAGCAUCUAAGCACGAAACUUGCCCCGAGAUGAGUUCU
rnacentral:rRNA from 1 species